GGCAGCACCGGAUCCCAGUAGCACGUUAUAUUUUGAAGAGUGGAGGUGAGGCCCCCCCUUCUUCCCCGGCUGGGGCCUAGUGCACAGCAGGUGUGAGUGAGUCCUUCGGAUCACCGUGCAACAUAGGCAUGGGACGCAGAGGACGCUUGCUGAGUAGUGGAAGCAGUGCACAGCUGACAGCUUUGGCAAAGUCAUGACUGAAGGCUGCCUGAAGGGGCUGUCGAGUGACCCAUUAAGGGGAGCAGCCUCAGAAAUCCAAGCAACUGGCAGCAGGUCAACAUGGCCUGUUAGCAUAAGCUGAUGGUCACUAAGCACCAGCAUCUGUCAAUGCACGCGCCACCACUUCCAACCACUCUAACUUUCUUGUGACAUGUAUGUACUCUCACUCUCUCUCUUUCACACACACACACACAAGCACUCACAGAUAGGCACAUGCACAGAUACACACAUAUUUACCAGUUAAUGGACACAAUCUUUAGCUUGUGAAAUUGCCUCAGACUGGAUUCUGUGGUCUUUUGUUUGCACUUUUAUAACCUGUCCCUUUGUGUUGCAGAGGGGUAUUUACAGGCAGUUAAACAGGUACGUACGAGAACUGGCUCUGAAUCAGAAUCCCACCUCUGACCCCCUGGUUCUGAGCUUACAGUUGAACCAGAACAGCCCAAAGGCUGGGAAAGGCUUAUCCAGUUCUGGGCCCUGGGCUUUUGUUCCAGUCCAGCUCUUGUCUAUACGCGAUGUGAAAUACCCGUGUGGAGAGGCGUCAAGUUUUGCAGCGUAGUAGUGUUAUACACAGGUAAGAACUGGGGAUGUGGUGUAGGAUGAUUCUAGCUAAUACACACAGUUAGCUGGAAUGGCAUAGUCCCCCUAAGCCAGUUUUUGGUGCAGGAUUGUUAGGUACUAAUAGUCCCAUGGAACUAGUGUAAAUGUUGUAUAGAAGGGGCGGUUAUUGGGGCAGUAUGUACUCUCACACUCAGGUAAGUCUGCACAGUUAGUUAUUCACUAUAUAAGGGGAAGGCUGGCCUCUCUCUAUACAGAAUACAGGAGAGGGUAGCUUCAGCUUAAGGUCCUUAUUUGUGUGUUUUCUUUGGUGCUGUGAUAGCUCAUCACCUAAAACUCCAUCCUCCCCAAACCAGCUUCAGACCUGCCUACUCUGAGCUGGGAUCUGCCCCCAUCUGCUAUUUGCCUUAUGUUGUUUGGCUGCAUUGUCACUGGCGGGUUUGCAGCUCUGGUGAGUUGACACAUUCCCUCACUGCUGUUGCUCAUGUUCUGAGUAAAAAAUGCCUUUCUCUGCAGAUCGGGAGGGUGCAUCCCUCACAACGGGCCAGGCCAGGUUCGUAUCACAGCACAGAACGAAGGUUUGCUGUGUGGCUCAGCCCAGAAGAGGAUGGUCUCUCCAUCUGGGGCUGGCUUAUUGCCUGUGGGUAGGAGACUCCUGGGAUCUCUUUGCGUCAGCAUCCUCUCCAUGCUAGCCAGGAGGAAAGAGAUACUGGCUCCGUGGAGGCAGCUCCGUUCCUGUGGACUCCAAGCCAGGAUCCACGGGUUGGAUAGAGGACGUAGAGGAGAGAAGAGGCGCUGCCAGCGCACCGGAUGGAAGGAACUCCAGCCUCGAGAGCUGCCAUCUGCUUCUUGUCAGGUUGCUGUGCGCGUCCGUUCCUGGCUGCCUGCUGACGGAGGUUGCUGGAUCCCAGCAUGAGAACGUUGUUAUGACAGAUGGUCUGUUUACCGCUUUUCAUCCCUGCUCAGGAUUGCACAGGAUGUUAGUGCUUGUCUGCAAAAGACAUUUCUGGGUCUGGUCUCUCGCCCUCCCCCACUGUCCUUUUGCUCUCUCCACCCACCUCCUUCUCACCCCCUCUUUUCUCCCCACCUCCAGUGCUCUCUGUUGCUACCAUCUAUGGUUCUGAUCUGUGCACGCAGGCCUCAUGGGAUUCCUUCCUGAAACACCUCUGCCCACAGUGUAGGCCUCCCCUCCAUGCUAGUCAAGCCGCACAAGUGAGCAGAUUUUGUUGAGAGUCUCAGCUCCAGGGGCAACAGAUGGGAUCAGCAUUGGCUCCUAAGCCUUCAAGCAGGUGUUGGCCAGCUGUGUGGCCUCUGUCACAAUCAAGAUGCGCUGUUGCUUCAUUCAGGGGUGAGGAUCAGAGAGGCUGGUUUGACUUCCUUUAACUCCUUUAUGCCUGAGCCGUUCCCAGCUGGCACGUGUCCAGGGAUGGGGAACAUGCAAGGGAGGGGGUUGAAUUGCUAACAUUGUAUUGGAGACCCAAUGCCCUGGCCCUACCACUAGCCAGAGGCAUUCUCCCUGCUGCUGACUUUGCAGACAUCUCACUGCGAGUUCUGGCUGGAAGGGCCCAAUAGCCCAGGGCUCCCAUACAGACAUCAGUAUUGCCCUAGUAACGCCUUCCCUGAGCUCUGCCCUCUGCCCAGGCAACAGCUCCAGCAACACCCCUCCAUCCCUCCCCACAUCUGCUGCAAAUCCUGGGACCCAGAAAUCCACCACCGUCUGCUCUCCUGUUCGGUCCAAGGGGCGCAGACUCCUCCCAGUGUCCCUCAGCAGCAGGGACAGUCCGGCUGGCAUGCUGGGCGGGCCCUCGGCUAACCCAAGCAGCCCCUGCUGCACGCAGCACUUUGGGAAAUGCAAUGCAAACAGUUUAUGCUGGGAUCAGCUCUCCUCAUAAACACACUGAGACGCUUCCAAUUGCCUAAAUAGCCCCCAGGCACAGCUCAGGGCCUGUCCUGCUCUUUGUCCACAGCAGAGGGGCUGAUUAAUGGGCUUGUUUCCGGAGGAAACCGCAGUCCUGCUUUCCAUAGCCCUGCCGACCUGCCCCUCCCCCGCCUCAGCAGGUCUCCCAGGGCCAGCCAGCCAUCUGCAGCCGUGUUUAGUGCAGGAGGCAUAAAUUACAUGCCAGCUCAGCUUCAGAGAGACAGGAGCCUCCACUGCCAUAUAAAGAAAAGGAGUACUUGUGGCACCUUAGAGACUAACCAAUUUAUUUGAGCAUGAGCUUUCGUGAGCUACAGCUCACUUCAUAGGAUGCAUACCGUGGAAACUGCCAACAAGUUUUUUCAUGCAGUUGAUAGAUUUCCACUGCCAUAUAGGGGACUGAAGAGGCCUGGGAACCUCAGUCAGGCCCUGUUUACUUCCUCUCCUCGCCUUCUGCUCCCAUUUCAUGGGGGACUGUCUGUCUAUGUAGCUAUCUCUGGGCUUACCCUGCACCCAGCACCCCAGUAUCUGGGCCUCAUGGCUCUGUGGCCUUUGUCUGUUCUUUGCUUUUCAAACAGAAGCUCGUGUCCUUUCCCCAGGAGCUCCACUGGCCGGAUUGACAGCCCUGGAGCCAAAGGUCCCUGCUUAGCCCCAGAACGUGCCCGGCUACGCAGCAAGUGUCCGCUGCCCACCCCGACCUGGCAGAAGGCACUGCAGUCAGGCCCAUUCAGCCUCUCUGCUGCAGCUGCCAACAAGGGGUCAGUCAGGUCGUUCACGGUGGCCGUUCCAUGGGGAAGUGAACUCAGAUCUAGCCAAGGCCAUUCCAAGUCAAGGCCUCCAGCCAGCCUGCACUGGGAAGAGCAGCAUCUGGAGCAGUGAGCGGAUAACCCCCAUGAAGUGCUUGGAAUGUGCUGGUACAAGGCCUCUGUGAACCCUGGGUUUCUCUGGAGCCCUCCCCCCUGAGGAGUAUGCCAGCCUCACCCUGUGCUGGGGUAAUGGCAAUGUAUUCUCCCCCCACCCCCAGCAUCUGUACAUCGUUGUGGGUCACCCCAGGCUCUUGUGAGCUCCUUAAAACCCUGGCUGUCCAACUCCAUACCGCUCACGUCUCUCAUGCAUGGGUGCCUGCCACACUGACUCAACUCCCCAGCUCCUCUCCCAGCCUGCUCUGGGCUCCGCAUAAAACCCAGAUUGGCUCUUUGCAGGCGGCCUCAUCCCAUGUUUCAUUAGCUGCUCCUACCCCAAACAGCCCUUUCCCUGCCCUUGGCCGUACAGCUCCUUCCGCUGACCCAUGGCUGCUGCUGCACCUUCGCCCCGCUCUGCCCGAAAUCCCAGCGGGAACCGCGCCAUGUCACAGCUGACACACUCUGUGAUCAGGGCGCGUGACAGCAGGUGGGGGCUGGAGACAGACCCACGGUGCCUGAGACACACAUAUAUACACCCAUCCUAAAUCAGCUAUACCCAGUCACACACACUCACAGAGACACAGCUCUCUCUCUCUCUCCCUCUCCCCCCCGCCACAUGUCUGUGCGAGGCAACGCUGGAUGGCUACAGAUGGAGAUCCAUCAAUGUCUCCCAGCCCAAGGUGCAGUGCUGCAUCUCUGGUCAGUUGUGAGUCUGAGAUGAAGCACUGUAGCUCGGGAAGGGAGGAACUGUGCAGCAGAGGACAUGCAUCCGUUCAACAGGCCGCACGGGAGCCCAGGCCAGCAGGACUUAUGGCUCCAGGCAGCAGCUUCUCUUGAUGGGCAGCAAGAAGGGAAGACUCGCCACUUGGGUUCAGACCGAAGGAGUGGCAUAGGGUGUGAACUGGGGAGACAAACCCCCUGGCCACCUGAGGCUCAGCGCAGAGGUAGAGGGGAAGGUCUCUCGCACCAACCAGGCCACAGGGUGGUCUUCUGGUUCCAGGCAGGGGGUGGGAAGGUUAGGAGGGAUUUUCAGGAAGCCUGUUAUCAAGGCGGCCUCUAGUUGCCCUGCAGUUGCCUUCAUUGCUGGCUCUCUGUCCCAGUCUCCCCGCUGAACCCUAGGGUUGGGUUUCAAAGAGCUCUGGGUGUGCACGUGUGCAUGCACCUAUGUGGAUCUGUCAGCACAGUGAGUAUGCAUGUGCCGGCCAUGCUAAUUCCCUCCCCUUCCAUGGGCAGAGUGUGGCUUGCCUAUCCCAGCUGCACUUUGGGAACGUUCCCUAACGCUCGGCAAGGAGCCCGGAGCAGAGAGGAGCUCUGGGGAAUGACCCUCGCCCAUUACAAGAGCUCAGAUCUGUUAGGCCUGGGCAGGAGAUGUUGGGGGAGACGGACUCCAUGGCAGUAGAGCCCCCCAGGGCUGGCCAUUUGAGGAUCCUAUGUCGCAGAGUGCUUAUCUCGAGCUGUAAGGCAGAGAGACAUGCAUGGGGUUGCAGGAGGUAUAAGGAAGUGGCACACCCCAAAUAGUGGGCUGGAACUUCAUAGUUAGUGCCUGUGGGCUUGUGCUGCACCCCCCUCCAAAGUCCCCUGGGAAUGCAAGGCAUGUUAAGGGGGAUUCAUCUUCCACAGUGGGAGUAAAUUGGCUAAAGGAAUGAAGGGGGGGGCUGACAGGGGUCAGUGCAGGGAGGUCACAAGCUGGGUUUAGACACCUGUGCAGCACUCCCUCAGGGUGGCACCUGGCGCUGUGGAUGGCUAAAGGAUGCUCAUGUACUGGGGACGGCGGAAACCACACUUUCUCUCCCCGCCGUGUCCUCAGGGUCCAGUUUUCCCAGGAAUCCCUUAGGCACUAUGACGGGGAUUCCUGGAAAUACUGUUCUUGAGGCCAUGGCUCAGCAGCUGGAGAAGACCUGCCCCCUUCCGAUGCAGAGCCCUCCAGAAGUCAGCGGAGCUGGAGAGCAAGGUUUGGAAGCACGUCUGGGGAUUCGCUUCUGGCAAUUCCAGGCUGAGAGGAAGGGAGGAUGGGAGGGCGGAGCCCUCCAGCGCUGUCAUGCCAUGGCCAUGCUGGGUGUGAGGGGGGGGGUGUGAGCCCUGGUUUAACUCACCCCAGGUCCUCCAGACCAAGGUACAAGGCCCAAGCUCAGCCAAGUGCAUAGGAGCUAUUGCACCCCCCAAGACCAUAACUCAGUGCAGUGCAAAGCAAUCUAGGGGACCACCAGCAGGCCCGGAAGCUGCCCUAUGUGCUGGGAUCCUGCAGGAACGGAGCCUCUUCCUUUAUUAGCUCAGAGCUGGGAGUCACCGCUUCCCUUUGUAUCUCCCAAUCACCCCACUCCCUGGUGUGCUGCCAUCAGGGCUGUGGGGUGAGUCGCACAUGAGUAAACGCCUCCCUGGGGUCCUGGGUGUGUUACUUGGCCGCUGCUGUGUAAAUAAAGAUCUGGGUUCAUCA